AUUGAACGCUGGCGGCAGGCCUAACACAUGCAAGUCGAACGAGUGGCGGACGGGUGUGUAAUGUCUGGGAAACUGCCUGAUGGAGGGGGCUAACGUCUGAAAAGGGUAACUAGAACCGCAUAACGUCAGGUGUGCCCAGAUGGGAUUAGCUGGUGGGUGGGGUAACGGCACACCAAGGCGCCGAGCCCAAGCUGUUCUGAGAGGAUGACCAGCCACACUGGAACUGAGACACGGUCCAGACUCCUACGGGAGGCAGCAGUGGGGAAUAUUGCACAAUGGGCUCAAGCCUGAUGCAGCCAAGCCGCGUGUAUGAAGAAGGCCUUCGGGUGGUAAAGUACUUUCAGCUGGGAGGCGUUACCCGAAGAAUAAGCACCGGCUAACUCCGUGCCAGCAGCCGCGGUAAUUC
rnacentral:rRNA from 1 species